rnacentral:misc_RNA from 1 species
AAGUCGUAACAAGGUUUCCGUAGGUGAACCUGCGGAAGGAUCAUUAUUGAAUGAACUUGGUAUGAUUGUUGCUGGCCCGUCUGGGCAUGUGCACGUCUGCCAUCUUUAUCUCUCCACCUGUGCACAUAUUGUAGGUCUGGAAUAAAUUUCUGAGGCAACUCAGUGGUGGGGAAUGCUGCUGCGAAGUGGCUUUGCCUGUAAUUUCAGAUCUAUGUUUUCAUAUACACCAUAAAAAUGUAACAGAAUGUAUUAAUGGGUCUUGUACCUAUAAACUAUAUACAACUUUCAGCAACGGAUCUCUUGGCUCUC